rnacentral:lncRNA from 1 species
GAAAUUGAUAAAAUCCAGUAGGUUAGAAGAUACUCUAUAUGCAUGCCACCCCGAUCUGAUGAUGAGAGUGAGCUUCCCUGAAGCUCCUCCAUGACCUUAACAGCUUGAUCAAUUUCCUGUCAAAAGAAAAAAGGUUGAUAAGAACAUCAAUAAAUGAGCAAAAACUCAGGGGAAAGGGUUAUUUGAUCAGUUUGGUACGCAGUAAAGAGAGAAGGUCGAACAAGAUCUUGUUUCUAUUAAAUAAAUAAAUGCUGAAUGGACAUGAAAAAAAAAAAAAAGAUAUUAUUCAACAUCCAUGUUCAAUUCAACGGAGGUAUGCAUAUGCCAUGUUCUGAUAAGUUUAAGUGACAGUCAAUUGUCUAGGAAUCAUGAGAUACUAGCAGCAUACUACAAGGUUGCCCAACUGAUAUUUUUUUGCACCUAGUGAUGUUCACUUUGAUUAGAUUUUGUUCCACUAUACAGUUAUGGUCAGCUGAAGUUGUACAACUAUGGUUUCCAGAUGAAUUUCAAACCUCAAACUGAUGCAUGCCAAUAUGAAACUCAAAAUUGCAAAAACAAGUUUUAAACUCAUGACACGAC